rnacentral:rRNA from 1 species
AUUGAACGCUGGCGGCAGGCCUAACAAAUGCAAGUCGAACGAGUGGCGGACGGGUGAGUAAUGUCUGGGAAACCGCCCGAUGGAGGGGGAAAACUACUGGAAACGGUAGCUAAUACCGCAUACCAUCGGAUUUGCACAGAUGGGAUUAGCUUGUAGGUGAGGUAACGGCUCACCUAGGCGACGAUCCCUAGCUGGUCUUCGAGGAUGACCAGCCACACUUGACCUGGUACCCGGUCCAGACUCCUACGGGAGGCAGCAGUGGGAAUUUUUGCCCAAUGGGGGCAAGCCUGCUGCAGCCCUGCCGCGUGUAUGAAGAAGGCCUUCGGGUUGUAAAGUACUUUCAUCGGGGAGGCGUUACCCGCAGAAGAAGCACCGGCUAACUCCGUGCCAGCCGCCGCGGUAAUAC